GAGAGAGAGAGAGAGAGAGAUUGAGUGUCCAACAUGCAUCCUGCAACUGAGGUGCAUUUUUGGACAGACUGAACACCUCUGGACGACUACUGUUUCAGACUGCAGCACCGCAGACCUUCAUCAUCAGACAGACACAGAGGGAGAGGACACUGAUCCAAUCUUGGCAAAAAUGAGCUUGGCUCGGAUCCAUGAUAAACACAAGCUAAAGAAAUACUGGGAGGAGAAAAUCGAACGUCACAGCGAUAUAAUGGGGAGUGAGGAAUCCAGAAUGAAGAGCAGUGCCUUAUCAAAGCUGCGGGACGAGUGGCUCAGGAGGCUGAAGCUUCGGAACCAGCAGCUGGAGCAUUUAGAAGAGAAACACAUCAGGAGGGGCAAGAUGUCCCAACAGGCCUUCAAGAUACCCAGUCAAUGACUACUCGAAUCUACAUUCUAGAAUCUACAUCAUUCUAAGCCAUCUGACUGAGGUCAUGACAUGUAGAUUAGCCUGGCUGCCAUCUCUUGUUCAGAUACGACAUUCCACUCAUUGCAACUCCUGUCAUUUGCCAAAGACAAUCUUUGGCAAAUGACGGGAGUGACAAGGAGUGGAUUAUUAGCUAAAAAAAAGACUGGUACUCAGACUAAUGAUGUAGGGUUAACUAGGACUAGCUUCUCCAUUUCAGAUGAUGACAUUACGACUAUAGAUUGAGGGGAAAUAGUGUAACUGAAGGGAAGUUUACUUCUUGCGAGGGAGACGGUAUGGCAGAAAGUCAAAUGGAUGGGAUGUCGCCGAAUGAUUAGUUGCAGAGCCAUGCUGUACAGACUUUGUCAUUAACACUCAUGUCGUAGUUUUGAGGCGACCAUCUGUUGUGCAGUUAAAUAAGUGCAGGGGAGUAUGUGAAGACUUGACUGUACAUCAGAGUGACAGUCGUGGUGACAGGUGGGGUAAUUAUUUGAUUUUUGUGUCGGAGGAAUAUACAACGUGAUCGGGAGGAAACAUGAUGAAGAUUGACAGAAUAUGGUAUGUUUUUGUUUUCAAGAAAGAAAAGUAUGGAAAGUUCAGAGAAACCAUAGAAAUGUGUUAAUGUCCCAAUUUCCGGGCUUAAAUAUAGAUAGAAUUUCAUAACGUUUAACAUAAUUUAUCUGCAACAUUAAAAGAGAGGGGAAAGCAUCUCUUCUGAGGCAUGUGAAAUGUAAAGAACUCAGAACUCAUUAGAGUUUUUUUUUAAAUGCAUGUGGACAGUUUCAGAGGUUUCUGAGAGAUGUGUUCCGGCCAGGUUACAGAAGUUGGUCUUUCAGUCAUCAGUUUAACAAAACAUUAGCAUUGUGCUUUGAAUUGACACUAUGUCGAUGUGUUUUAGGGUGUCUGCUUAUGUCUUGGUGUUAAGACGAGCUGUGAAAGGGAGUGCUGUUAGCUUCAUCUUCUUUUCAGUUUGAUGUGAUGAACAAAGAAAUGUCUAAAAAAAACAUCCUACAGCAUCACCAUGAUCCUACAUCCUACCGCAUCGCCAUGAUCCUACAUCCUACAGCAUCACCAUGAUCCUACAUCCUACAGCAUCACCAUGAUCCUACAUCCUACAGCAUCACCAUGAUCCUACAUCCUACAGCAUUGCCAUGAUCCUACAUCCCUCAGCAUCACCAUGAUCCUACAUCCUACAGCAUCACCAUGACCAUAUUUGAGAAGUUGUACAAUCAUACAUUAUCAAUGGCCAAGGAGACAGCUUCUGAUCAAAAUAGAAAUGAUUGGACCGAAAGUACAAGAUUGGGAGAUGGUACAGUAUAACAUUACGGAGUAUGGCAUUACAGAGUCAUUUACUCCUGAGGUGCUGACCUGUUGCACCCUCUAUAACGACAGUGAUUAUUAUUUGACCCUGCUGGUCAUCUACAGUGCCUUGAGAAAGCAUUAAUGCCCUUGACUUAUUCUACGUUCUGUUGUGUUACAGCCAGAAUUCAAAAUGGAUUCAAUUCAUUUCUCUCUCUCUCUCUCACCCAUCUACACACAAUACACCAUAUUGACAAAGUGAAUGCAUGUUUUUAGACAUUUUAGCUCAUUUAUUGAUAAUGAAAUACAGAAGUAUCUCCUUUACAUAAGUAUUCCCGCCCCUGAGUCAAAACUUUGUAGAAGCACCUUUGGCAGCGAUUACAUCUGUGAAUCUUUCUGGGUAAGUCUCCAAGAUUUUUCCACACCUGGAUUGUGCCCAUUAUUCUUCUCAGAAUUCAUGUUUUGCAAUAUGUUUAUUCUGUAAAGGUUUCCUUUUUUUCUCACUGUCAUGCAGGUUAGUAUUGUGGAGUAGCAACAAUGUUGUCGAUCCUUCCUCAAUUUUCUCCUAUCACAGCCAUUAAACUUUUAAAGUCGC